UCAAAAAUAAAAUAAAUCCUCAAAGGGUUUUUAAUUAACCUUUGUAUUCAUUUUUGACAGUUAUACAUUACAUAGUUUAAAAAGUAUACUAUCUGAAAUUAAAAAUUAUACUCAAACGGAAUAACGCGAAAAUAUGUUUGAUUGCAUACUGUCUCCUGGGAAAUUUGAUAUUUUUUUUUCAAUUAACUUGAAUAUGCAGCGUUUUUCAAACCUACCGAGAAUAGCCCGUCAAAUAAAAUUAAUUGUGAAUAUCAUCCACAUCGAUAAAAACAGCCAUUCAGCGAGAGGCAGGCUCGAAAAAAAGUUGAGACAAACCUAGCUCACGGGGUAGAUUCCACCCAAACCACCACGCCAAUGACACCGCAAACACUGGAAUAGAUAGAAGCGACCGCAUCCCGGGUAGACAACUCGAACAACAUCGUGGCCUUUCUACACAUUCACACGGCCCUGCUAUUACUUUGGCCAGUAGCAAAAAUGUCGACCACCGGAGCUUAUUGGUAAUUAUCGUCGACCUUCCGAGAACGUAUCGUACUACUGGAUAGAUCACUACCCUGGAGAAGCAUGCAGCGAUUGAAUCAGGUUCUUAAGAACUGGCGGUGCACGCGCGGAACUAAUUCAUAUACCUAACCAUUGACACGCAAAAGAUGUUCUCCAGCACCUGUCAGCUACGAUGCACGAAUGGUUUGUCUUGGUAUUCCCUGCGAAUAAUCAGAUUGAAAAAUCGCCAUCAUCGUAUUUACAUCCAGUUUUGUCGGCAUAUGAAUGUUGCUUUGAUCGUAAAGCACAAAGCGGAAGAAACCUACACCUUUCAUAUGGUGCUGCGGUAAAAACGACGUCAGUGGAAGACAACCAAGCUCCGGAUCAAGAAAAGCCGUACGCAUCUACUUUCAGCUCAGCCAGUCAAUCAGCUAUUGACUUCGCAACUCCAGGUGAUCCCCACCCGUUUCCAGUGUUAGCCGACGGAACAAACAUCAGCAUCACCACCGCUCCGGAAAACCGCUCCGAUAAUGUACCAGUUCGAUAUUUUCAUUGGGAUUCAUGAUGUAACAAAAUUAUGUACUUCCAAAAUUUUCGUCUAUGGCUGAAUUAAUUUAUUAAACCAAAAGAUCUUACAGCAUUUUAAUAAAAUUUAAUAAAAAUAAUAAACAUUCUUUUAGAAAAAACAAUAAUAAGCUCACUUAAUCUAGAAAACAUAAACAAAUCCAAAAUAAACUAAACAAUGUAUGAACCCUACCUAUACUAGUGAAAGAUUUUCUUUAAGUUAUACUA